AAAGGGUCCCGCAACCAACUUUAUAUAAUUCCUUUACAACCGUUGCACCCCGUACGAAUACAAUAUGUUGGUAAUUAAUUACUUCUUAAAUCAAUUACUUUAAACUGAGAUCAAUUCCUUAAUCAAUCAACAGAAAAAAAAAAAAAAAAAAGCUUUUUCUUGUUUUAAUGAGUGAUAGCUUCAACUACCACUCUUACUUUCUCUCUGAUCCUUAGGUUUUUAGUUUUAUUCCUCUUGUCAUCGGUAUCUUUUCCCGGCGGAUCAAGAUCAGCGGCUGAAAAAUGAGCUUCCAGGAUCUUCAAAGCGGGAAGAGACCCUCCUCCUCUUCCUCUGCUUCUGCAAUGUCCAGAAGCCCAUCGCAAGCGGUUGCUGCCGGUAUUUUCCAAAUCAACACCGCUGUCGCCGGCUUCCGCCGUCUCGUCGACAGCAUCGGCACCGCUAAAGACACUCCCGAGCAUCGCCAGAAGCUGCAUAAUACGAGACAGAGAAUUUUGCAGUUAGUUAAGGACACGUCAGCUAAGCUUAAAGCUGUUAGUGAAUCUGAUCAUCAAGCUAACGUUAAUGCAAGUAAGAAAAUCGAAGAUGCAAAGUUAGCUAGGGACUUCCAAACUACAUUACAAGAAUUUCAGAAAGUUCAACAGCUUGCCUCUGAGCGUGAAUCCACUUAUUCACCUUCUCUUCCUUCUUUGCCUCCUGCUGCUGCGUCUGGCUCUGGUGAAUAUGACGCACCUAGCUUGGUUCAGGAUGCACAUCCUUUUCUUAUGGAACAGAAAAGGCAGGAGGUAUUGCUGUUGGAUAAUGAAAUUGCAUUCAAUGAGGCUGUAAUUGAUGAAAGGGAUCAGGGUAUUAGAGAAAUACAAGAACAAAUUGGACAAGUAAAUGACAUAUUUAAGGAUCUUGCUGUUCUAGUUCAUGAGCAGGGGGUUGUUAUUGAUGAUAUCCAAUCCAACAUCGAUUCUUCUGCUGCUGCAACAUCCCAAGCAAAAGUUCAGCUAGCUAAGGCUUCGAAAAGUGUGAAAUCCAGAACCUCGUGGGAGUUCAGAGCAAUCAUCUAAGAUUGUGUGCAGUUUACCAUGCCCUUAAUUUCCGCAAGCAACCAUGAUGAUCUCUUGAUGCUUUUAAAUAGCUUUAUCGGGGAUAAAAGAAUUGCGAUAAAUCAAGUGUUGGUGGCUACUAGGAAUUUUUGUAUUGGCGGUGGUUAUCUUUCUUCUCAUCCUCAUUAUAUAGCGAGCAAGUAUAUAUACGGAGCUCUGGUGUGCUUUUCCAGUACAAUUUUUUUGUCUGUCCUGUGAUCUCUAUCUUAUUGUAAUUCUGAUAGUCCUUAUUCUUUUAGUUUUAAUUUAUUUCAUCUAAUUCACAAGUAGCAGAGUGGAUUGCUGGUCUCUUUUUUCUUAUUCCUUUUUUCUCCAUUUUUGGCCUUUUUUGGUUUGGUUCUAUGAGUAACUGUCCCUCUAUACAUGUAUUUGAUUGUUUGUAUUUUAUCUUUGGAGAGAAAAUAAAUCUGAUUGGACCAGAAUGCA